rnacentral:rRNA from 1 species
UACGUAGGGUGCGAGCGUUAAUCGGAAUUACUGGGCGUAAAGCGUGCGCAGGCGGUUUUGCAAGCCGGAUGUGAAAUCCCCGGGCUCAACCUGGGAAUGGCAUUCGGGACUGCAAGGCUGGAGUGCGGCAGAGGAGACUGGAAUUCCUGGUGUAGCAGUGAAAUGCGUAGAUAUCAGGAGGAACACCGGUGGCGAAGGCGGGUCUCUGGGCCGAUACUGACGCUGAGGAGCGAAAGCGUGGGGAGCGAACAGG